GCCAGCUCCCAAUCCCGUCGCCCCCUCCUCCUCCACAAUCCCCUGCAGCGCCUCCUCCUCCAAUCCUCCCGUUCAUCCUCCCCCAAUCUUCUUCCAAUGGCAGCCGGCCCCAAUCCCGCGUCCCUCUCUCUCCCUAUCCCCGCCCUCUCACGUUUCCCCCAAUCCCCUUCCUGUGGUCCACCUCCUCUUCUCCUCCACCGGGGCGCUCCGCCUCCUCUUCUCGCUGCUACACGUCUCCCUCCUGCUCGCUGCUCACACCUCCUACCGUUGAGCGCUGGCGCGAGGCUGCGACGGGAUACCGUGCAGAAUGAGUGCGGUGAGCGAGUCGUGCAGUGAGGCGGAGGGCGGAAGUGGCGCCAUGGAUGGACGAGCCAGAGGUAGUUGAAGAUGGCCACCUGGUGGCAGAGAUGGCCGCCUCGCAGACCCGACGACGGGGCGCAGUUGGGCCUGCAGCGGCAAAGGACUGCCACGUCCAAUCUCAUAUGGAACACAGGCUUGCUCCGCCCUUGCCUCAUGUGGUUGUCUUGAUGGAAGAGUAGUACAUCCUGCAGCUUGCGCCACCACUGCGUGCCGUGCCCUCGCCAGGAGGAGCAGCUGGUAGCCCGCGUCCAUCCCAGCUUGCACGGGGCCGCCUAUAUCGCUUGCCCCUCUUCUUGGUGCGCGGUGGCUGGCUGGUCAGACGUUGUGUGGGCUGAGAUGAACACCACUGGAUUCAAUGUUGAUUGAGUGGCUUGGGAAGGGGAGUAAGACCGUGGCUUGCGAGGUAAAAGGCUAGAGAAACGUUGUUGUUGAGGCUGCUCCCAGAGCAGAGAUCUUCAAUGGCGAUGUAGGGGAAUUCCAGUGCCCACACAAGUUCCUCCAUUUGGCGAUAUUAGACGAUGAUAUCAAUAUUUAUGUUACUGGGAGCGAGUGACCAAUCGGCAGAAUGUUUAGCUCAUGGAGCUAUCAUCCGAUGAUGCAGGUGGCACGCGGAAAACCGUUGUUUCAGAUUAUCCAUUGUUUCUGUAGUCCAUGGUGCUGAAGGAGUACCCUGAUGCACCCACAGUUGCGUAGAAAUGUGGAUUCGUCGAGUGGAUCUCCAUGAAAGCAGGUUUGCAGAUACUCAGAUAGGGAAUUAUGCACACACACGCACACUUGGUAAGUUAAGUCUCAUAACAUAUAUCAUUUCAUAUAUUUCCUCUUCCGGCCUUUUUUUAGAUUCAUUUCCACGCGCUUCGGGGUGUUGCAAUAUUGGGUGAAUGUUACUGGUAGACGCGGACGCGGCCUGUAGCCAUUCCAGUUACUUGCUUUUGUUUUCCUAUGUGUACUUCCUUUUACUCAAGAGAGUUCUUUAUAAUUAUCAUUUAGAGAAGAGUUAUUGCUUAUAGAAGGAUAGAAUAUAAGUUCCUUGAUGGACUAUGCUCUCUAUUAUUUGUUGAAGUGGGAUCUGAAUGUUAGAGUAUAUGAUGCAUUUCUAUUCUUUAAUUUUACUAUCUUUCUUUCUGUCAUAUCCAAUACUGUGAAUGCUCUGUUUCAGGACCUCAAGAGGAAGUUGUUUGCAUUGCAAUUCAAAUGGAUCUUGUUCAGCUUAGUAUUUGGAUUAUCAUUAUCAUUUACCACUGAAUUUUUUUUUUAUUUCACAAAUUUCAUCAGCGUGUGUACUGAAGAUUUUCUCUUUUUGUUCAUACGUUCAGAAAAGUACAGCUUAGCCUUGCAUGACACACAGAUUAUUGGAUUAGACAUAAACUGAAUUUAUUAUACUUGUCUCGGGCUCCUACCAUUUGACCAAUUACUUGCAGCUUCCUUGUUCUCAUAUUCUUAUUUUUCAAGUGUAUCCUGGGGAGUGACAUUCUCCCCUUCUAAAGAUCCAUGUUUAUUACUUGAUUGGGUUGCAUUGAAAUAAUUAUUAUGCAGUUCUUACUUCUUAGACACAGAAUAUAUUAUUUAAAUUCAAUUGGUGCAUUUUAGUAACUUGUGCAAAUUAUUUUAGGGGUCCAUGCGGUUAUCUUAUGAUCGUUGUUGUUGUAAGUGGCUUUGUGAGAAAAUAUAUAUAUAUAUAAUAGGGGCGCUGUUAUUUUCCUGCCCUAAACGCUUCUUGAGGGUGUUUGCUUGUUUGCUACAGAUUAAAUAUUUGGAUAGCUUCAAACAUUUUGUAUGCUUACUACAUUG